rnacentral:rRNA from 1 species
ACUCCUACGGGAGGCAGCAGUGGGGAAUUUUGGACAAUGGGGGCAACCCUGAUCCAGCAAUGCCGCGUGAGUGAAGAAGGCCUUCGGGUUGUAAAGCUCUUUUGUCAGGGAAGAAACGGUGGUGGCGAAUAACUACUACUAAUGACGGUACCUGAAGAAUAAGCACCGGCUAACUACGUGCCAGCAGCCGCGGUAAUACGUAGGGUGCAAGCGUUAAUCGGAAUUACUGGGCGUAAAGCGUGCGCAGGCGGUUGUGUAAGUCAGAUGUGAAAUCCCCGGGCUCAACCUGGGAAUUGCAUUUGAGACUGCACGGCUAGAGUGUGUCAGAGGGGGGUAGAAUUCCACGUGUAGCAGUGAAAUGCGUAGAUAUGUGGAGGAAUACCGAUGGCGAAGGCAGCCCCCUGGGAUAACACUGACGCUCAUGCACGAAAGCGUGGGGAGCAAACAGGAUUAGAAACCCCAGUAGUCCCAUGAU